UUUAUUUGGGCCAUGAUUCGGGAUCCAGAAACACCCUUAAAUACCAGAGUUCGUAAAUUGCCGCUUAUUUCUGUUUUGUAUCCCAAGAAAUCGCAGUGUUUGUUGGAGAGACGAAGAAGAGACGUGCUCGCUGAUCGGCACAGCUGAUGGCGUCGAGUUCUCUGAAGGAUUCAUUGACAUAGUUCGUGCUUGACAAGACUCCACAAUAAACGCACAUGCGAUCCGUCCACGAGAUCGACGUCUCGUAAACCCUAAUUUCUGUCUCGCGACGAUCUGAGGAUAAAUCCCAUCGAUCAGAUCGACGUCUCGCAAAACCUUAACCUCGUCCGUCUAUUUCUAUCUUCUACACGAAGAAAAAGCAAAAAGUGAGAAAAACGAAGAAGAGACACUCUCGCUAUCGACCCUACCGAUGACGUCCUCUAGUUCUCUGAAGGAGUCAUUGACAUCGAUCGUGCUUGACAAGUCUUUCUUAUUGUUUACAAACGACAACAGCUGCAAGGAGAAACGCACCUGCCAUCCGUCCACGAGAUUGACUUCUCGCAAAACCCUAAGCUCUGUCUCGAAGGCGCGACAUCUGAGGAGAAAUCUCAUCGAUCAGUCACACAUUGAGGUCCUCAAGGACGAGGCCUCCCUCCCUCGUGUUCUUGAAGAGGAAAGGACUGUGAAAUUGACGUUUUCCAGGUGCCUAACAUGAAUAAAAUUGACGUUUGCCAGCAGCCUAGAAGUAGUUGAAUUCCAAAAAUUUUUAGUCUGCGCUAUAUGCGUCAUUACUUUCCUUAGUGUUUCUUGCCAGCCAAACAGACGAUUCUAGCCCUUGAAGAUUAGGUGUUAUUCAAUCUUUAUCAACCGUAUGCUAUUUCAUGUAAGGCAAGCAGCAUCGCCUUGAUGCCUUUUACCUUCUCAAAAAAAAAGUAAUGUUAAAUGGUGAUUGGUGAACAAUGAUUUGGAUGAAAGAUACAGAUAAAAGCAUUCUAGGCCUAGCCAGUGGUGGAUGAAGCAGAGAAAGAGAAUAAGAAGAUAGAUGGGCAGUCAGGACAGAUCAAUGAAACGUAGGAAGCAAUGAAGUUAUAUCCAGCACCAUAUAUAAAUAUCUAUCUAGAUGUUUCUGAUAUCUUUUUUUGUUCUUUGUUCCACUUUUCAUAUGCAGAUCGCCGUAUCUCGUGGUCUCGAAUGUUUUCAAAAUUCCUCCACUUUAAAAUGUGGCUGCUUUGAUGACUGAUGAGAUAAACUUUGUCAAGCAUAUUUUCCAGUCCUUUUCUUGAAUUUGACCACAUGAUGACCCAUGUUAAAAGUUGGCUUCACCUGAUGAGUCACAAAGCGAUGUUUCAUAAGCAGAGUUGUUAGAGGCACAGAUCGCCACAUCUUGUGGAAGCAGAACUUCAUCAACUUAGGGUCAUCUUGAGCCAGCUAUUCUAACAGAGAAAUUUCUUAUGUGAUUUUCAGGAUAUUACAACAUGUUCCAGAAAUAGCAGUUUGCUUGCUGUGAUUGCAUGUACUACAACAGCUGCAGGUCAGUUUAUCAUACGGAACUAAUGCGCUCUUUAUCAAAAUAAUCUUAAGGAAAAUCAAGAACUAAUAAUAA